UUACUUUAUACCUUUGAAUAAUUUUAACUCAUUUUCAUUUCAUCUUUUGUCAGAUUUCUUUACAACAACAACAACAACAAUAACAACAACAACAACGACGAGUGAUAAAUACAACAUGACACGUUUCUUUCCUACACCAACACAGCCGUCCAUCACUACUGAGAAAUCCACUGCAUAUGUUCCUCAGCCCCGGCUGACCGUGUCUCCUGAAGUUCUCACAGAGAGAGGAUCAGUGCAGAUUCACUGUCAUGUUCCAGACAAUGUUAAAGUGCAUCAGUGUUAUUUCUACCCAGAGAGAGACAACACAAAUCUAAAACUCUCUCCAUCAUGUCAGCUCUCAG
ensembl:lncRNA